GGUUGUGGCUUAGCGAUACAGCACUUGCCUAGUAUGUGUGAGGCCCUGGGUUCGAUCCUCAGCAUCA
rnacentral:tRNA from 1 species